CCCUUAAGGUUCCUGAUUCCCUUUACUCACUUUUGUUUUAAUCAUCGCGACGAGUUUUUCUUUUUAAUACUUUCGCCAGCUACGUGGAAUGUAAUUUAUUCCCCUCAACCUGCCGCCGCCCUCAAUCUUGUUUUGGAGGAGUCUCGCAGCCGUGCCGCGAAGAGCCCUUCUCGCGGUAUUUCUUUAUUCCCGGAAUCCUUUGCGGGACACGGCGGGGAGGAAGGGAAACACAGGAGAGAAGUUACUUGUUCAGUUUAGCUUCGGAAUCCUGCAGUCAAAACCAGUCUUCCCUAGGUCUUUCUGUUGCUUCAUCUGCAAGGAAAAUGACGACCCUGGAGCAGCCGCUGCCGCUAUCAAGAGGAUGCCCGAGCUCCACUUCACUUUCCCCGCCCCGAGGAGACCGGACCCUUCUAAUCAGACAUCUGCCGGCCGAGCUGAGCGCAGAGGAGAAAGAGGACUUGCUGAAAUACUUCGGGGCACAGUCUGUACGCGUCCUGUCAGACAAGGGGCGACUGAAACAUACAGCUUUUGCUACUUUCCCCAGUGAAAAAGCGGCAAUAAAGGCAUUGACAAGACUUCAUCAGCUGAAACUUUUAGGUCAUACUUUAGUUGUCGAAUUUGCAAAAGAGCAAGAUCGAGUUCAUUCCCCAUGUCCCACUUCAGGCUCUGAAAAAAAGAAAAAGUCUGAUGACUCUGUGGAAGAUGAUAAAGAAAAAAAAGAAUUUGGUUGUUUAACGGUAGAAAAUGGAAUCGCACCAAACCAUGGGCUGACUUUUCCUCUCAAUUCAUGCCUCAAGUAUAUGUACCCACCACCUUCAAGCACAAUCCUAGCAAAUAUAGUAAAUGCUUUGGCAAGUGUGCCUAAGUUCUAUGUACAGGUGCUUCAUCUUAUGAAUAAAAUGAAUUUGCCCACACCUUUUGGACCAGUUACUGCACCGCCUCCCUUGUAUGAAGACUAUUUGCCACUGCAUGCACCUCUUCCCCCUACAUCUCCUCAGCCACCUGAGGAACCUCCUUUGCCAGAUGAAGAUGAGGAACUGUCUAGUAAAGAAUCAGAAUAUGAAAGCAGUGAUGAGGAGGAUCGACAGAGAAUGACCAAACUUAUGGAACUAGCAAACCUUCAACCCAAAAGACCAAAGAUGACAAAGCAGCGUCAUGUGAGAAAAAAGCAAAAAAUAAAGGAUAUGUUAAAUCUGUCUUCAUCUGUUUCACACAGCAAUUUGCAUCCUGUGCUAUUACCUUCAGAUGUGUUUGACCAGCCACAACCUGUAGGCAAUAAAAGAAUUGAAUUCCACAUAUCUACUGACAUGCCAAAUGUAUUUAAUAAAGAUUUACAGAAAGAAAAAAAUUAUGAGGAAAAAAAUUCUGAUUUACCUGCUGUUGAAGUUGAAGCAUCCAGUAUAGGAUUUGGAAAAAUCUUUCCCAAACCUAAUUUGAAUGUCACAGAAGAGAUUAAAGAAGACUCUGAUGAAAUGCCUUCAGAAUGUAUUUCUAGAAGGGAACUGGAAAAAGGCAGAAUUUCUAGAGAAGAAAUGGAAACACUUUCAGUUUUCAGAAGUUAUGAACCUGGUGAACCCAACUGUAGAAUUUAUGUAAAGAAUUUAGCCAAGCAUGUUCAAGAAAAAGACCUUAAAUUCAUUUUUGGGCGAUACGUUGACUUCUCAUCAGAAACACAACGGAUCAUGUUCGAUAUACGCUUGAUGAAAGAAGGUCGCAUGAAAGGACAAGCUUUCAUAGGACUUCCAAAUGAAAAAGCAGCUGCAAAAGCCUUGAAGGAAGCUAAUGGAUAUGUUCUUUUUGGAAAACCCAUGGUGGUUCAAUUUGCCCGAUCUGCCAGGCCAAAGCAAGAUUCUAAAGAAGGAAAAAGAAAGUGUUAAGAAGCAUUCCUGCGUACAUACUGCUGUAAUACUGUCAUGCAAAAAUGUAUCCUUUCUUGUUGUAUCCUUUUUGGGGCAGUGUUUUUUGUUUUGUUUUUUAUUUUGUUGUUUUUUGUUUACUAGAAAUGUUUUGUCCCUAUUUCUAUCCCUUGGUUUAGGCUAAACAGCAUUUUUUUAUACUUUAUGCAAAUGAAAUGUUUCUAAAAUUCUAUAGCUUGAAAAAUUUAUAUGUUUUCUUAUAUUUGUUGUUGAAUUUUCUUUGCAUUUAGGUUAUAGUUUUUCCACAGAAAGUUAGUGAAUCAGGUCAACUACUUAGAGAAUAUGUAUGCAUUUGCUUUAACACAGAAUGUUGUCUUAUUUCUCUUUGUGUAUUUUGGUAAAUUUAAAUAACAUCUGGUUUCUCUCUUAAGAUAUAUCUGGUCUAUAUAUUCUACAUAAAAUUUGAGUGUGGAAACAAAUUAUUUUCUUUAAAAAAGAACUUGUGCUAAAAAUUAAAAUAACUUGAUAUAUAAAUCCCAAAUUAAGUAGCAGAUCUCACAUUUGAUAUUUCCAUUAACUUAGAUAGCAAAUAGAACUUUUUAACAGAAAGCAGAAAAGGGUAAGAAGAGAGAGUAACAAGAUAGAAGAUACAGUGUUAAAGUAAGGUAGCUCAAUGAUGAAAAACAAAAUGAUCCUAGUAAGAAUGUAAAAAUAGUAAUUCCCAGGCUGAUUAACCAGAAGUACCCUUAACUGUACUUCUCGAACUUGGCUGCACAUUGGAGUGGCCUGGGAACUUUGAAAAAUAAUAAAUAAAAAUUAAAAAUAUUUUAAUGUUAGGUUCCUUCCCCAGAGAGUAGGUACUAUAUUAUAAUUUUGGAAUGUAGCUUGGGUUUUAGAAAUUUUCACGAUUUUCUAAGUGAGUCUAAUGUGCAGUCAAAGUAGAGAACCACCAGUGAAGUGUUUUUAUUUCUGAAGAUUCCUAGACCAAUCGUAAAAAUAAUAAAUUGCAAUUUCUGGGAAUAGGGUCUAAGAAUCUAAUUUGAAAAGUUUCUUUAGUAAUAUAAGGAUACUGUUUAUUUGAAGUAAAAUGGUUGGAAUAACCCUAAUCACCUAUAACUAAAAAAAACCUUCCAGAUACAGAAAUUGCAAAUUUUUGAUAAGUACAAUUAUAAUCUUUUACUCAUUCAUGUUAUAUAUUAGUUCCCAUAUAAAGUAUUUUUGUAAUUAAAUUUAUGCUGACAUGAUUCACUGAUUUUCUAAAUAUAAUUAUUUUAGCUGUAAUUAUUUUCAGACUCCUAAAAUGUUAUAAUAAUGAUUAUUUUUAAUGAGUUUUUAUGGUAUUUUAGGUUCCUCUUGAAUUUCGAGUCUUUCAAGUUUUUGCCAACUUUGAGAAGAAAUUGACUACCUGGACUAUGGAACUUGUGGAAAAGAACAUUAAAGGACAUCACAGCCUCAUCCUCGAGGAUGAAUCCCAGCAGACAGUGCAGCAUCCCUUGGCUUGGCUCAUGCUUAUCAGUAGGAAUUACAGGAUAUAGAGAAUAAAAUCUUUUAGAGGGAAAUGAGAGAGACCACCAUGGAGACAAAGAAAUAUAAACAAUUGGUAGAAAGAACCCUGACAGCCUCACAGCAAAA